GAUGAACGCUGACAGAAUGCUUAACACAUGCAAGUCAACUUGAACUUCGGUUUGGGUGGCGGAUGGGUGAGUAACGCGUAAAGAACUUGCCUCACAGCUAGGGACAACAUUUGGAAACGAAUGCUAAUACCUGAUAUUAUGAUUAUAUGGCAUCGUAUAAUUAUGAAAGCUAUAUGCGCUGUGAGAGAGCUUUGCGUCCCAUUAGCUAGUUGGAGAGGUAACAGCUCACCAAGGCGAUGAUGGGUAGCCGGCCUGGGAGGGUGAUCGGCCACAAGGGGACUGAGACACGGCCCUUACUCCUCCGGGAGGCAGCGGUGGGGAAUAUUGGACAAUGGACCGAGAGUCUGAUCCAGCAAUUCUGUGUGCACGAUGAAGUUUUUCGGAAUGUAAAGUGCUUUCAGUUGGGAAGAAAAAAAUGACGGUACCAACAGAAGAAGUGACGGCUAAAUACGCG
rnacentral:rRNA from 1 species